rnacentral:misc_RNA from 1 species
AUCUAAUUGGUCCGGUCCGGUUUAAUAACAAACCCCAAAGUUCCAAACUGGUACUUGUACUUGCUUCAUUUCUUCCCCCAGCCAUUCACAAGGUGCUCUGCAAUUUUUCCAAGGAAAUGGCUUUGGAGAUCUGUGUCAAGGCAGCUGUUGGUGCCCCUAAUAUUAUCGGAGACUGCCCAUUCACCCAGAGAUGUCUCUUGACUUUGGAAGAGAAGAAACUUUCCUACAAGUUGCAUCUGAUCAAUCUGAGUGACAAGCCUCAAUGGUUUUUGGAAGUAAGCCCUGAAGGGAAGGUGCCAGUGGUGAAAUUUGAUGACAAAUGGGUGCCAGACUCUGAUGUGAUUGUUGGGAUUCUAGAGGAGAAGUACCCUGAGCCAUCUCUUGUUACCCCUCCUGAAUAUGCUUCUGUAGGUUCAAAGAUAUUCCCAUCUUUUGUCAAAUUCUUGAAGAGCAAGGAUUCCAAUGAUGGAUCUGAGCAGGCUUUGCUUGAGGAAUUGAAGGCAUUGGAAGAGCA